GGGGAUUUAGUUCAGUGGUAGAGCGCUUGCCUAGCAAGCACAAGGCCCUGGGUUCGGUCCCCAGCUCCA
rfam:Rattus norvegicus chromosome 9, whole genome shotgun sequence.